GACGAACGCUGGCGGCGCGCCUAACACAUGCAAGUCGAACGGAACUUGAGAGAGCUUGCUUUUUCAAGUUUAGUGGCGAACGGGUGAGUAACGCGUGAGUAACCUGCCCUGGAGUGGGGGACAACAGUUGGAAACGACUGCUAAUACCGCAUAAGCCCACGGCACCGCAUGGUGCUGAGGGAAAAGGAUUUAUUCGCUUCAGGAUGGACUCGCGUCCAAUUAGCUAGUUGGUGAGGUAACGGCCCACCAAGGCGACGAUUGGUAGCCGGACUGAGAGGUUGAACGGCCACAUUGGGACUGAGACACGGCCCAGACUCCUACGGGAGGCAGCAGUGGGGAAUAUUGCACAAUGGGGGAAACCCUGAUGCAGCGACGCCGCGUGACUGAAGAAGUAUUUCGGUAUGUAAAGGUCUAUCAGCAAGGAAGAAGAGAGACGAUACUUGACUAAGAAGCCCCGGCUAACUACGUGCCAGCAGCCGCGGUAAUACGUAGGGGGCAAGCGUUAUCCGGAUUUAUUGGGUUUAAAGGGAGCGUAGGCGGACGCUUAAGUCAGUUGUGAAAGUUUGCGGCUCAACCGUAAAAUUGCAGUUGAUACUGGGUGUCUUGAGUACAGUAGAGGCAGGCGGAAUUCGUGGUGUAGCGGUGAAAUGCUUAGAUAUCACGAAGAACUCCGAUUGCGAAGGCAGCCUGCUGGACUGUAACUGACGCUGAUGCUCGAAAGUGUGGGUAUCAAACAGGAUUAGAUACCCUGGUAGUCCACACAGUAAACGAUGAAUACUCGCUGUUUGCGAUAUACAGUAAGCGGCCAAGCGAAAGCGUUAAGUAUUCCACCUGGGGAGUACGCCGGCAACGGUGAAACUCAAAGGAAUUGACGGGGGCCCGCACAAGCGGAGGAACAUGUGGUUUAAUUCGAUGAUACGCGAGGAACCUUACCCGGGCUUGAAUUGCAACUGAAUGAUGUGGAGACAUGUCAGCCGCAAGGCAGUUGUGAAGGUGCUGCAUGGUUGUCGUCAGCUCGUGCCGUGAGGUGUCGGCUUAAGUGCCAUAACGAGCGCAACCCUUAUCGAUAGUUACCAUCAGGUGAUGCUGGGGACUCUGUCGAGACUGCCGUCGUAAGAUGUGAGGAAGGUGGGGAUGACGUCAAAUCAGCACGGCCCUUACGUCCGGGGCUACACACGUGUUACAAUGGGGGGUACAGAAGGCAGCUACACGGCGACGUGAUGCUAAUCCCUAAAGCCUCUCUCAGUUCGGAUUGGAGUCUGCAACCCGACUCCAUGAAGCUGGAUUCGCUAGUAAUCGCGCAUCAGCCACGGCGCGGUGAAUACGUUCCCGGGCCUUGUACACACCGCCCGUCAAGCCAUGAAAGCCGGGGGUACCUGAAGUGCGUAACCGCAAGGAGCGCCCUAGGGUAAAACUGGUGAUUGGGGCUA
rnacentral:rRNA from 1 species